AAAACAAAAAACACCAAAGAGUAAAACCGGAAAUGGAAUUACGUCACUUCCUGUUCGUCAGUUGGUCUCCUGCUUUGAAAUUGAGGCAAUCGUUUUCAGCCGGAUGGUUGCCCCCUGUGCGAGUGGAAGAUGUGACUUUGAAGACAGUCAUUGUAAAAGGUGCAAAAGGCUUGUCUAAGAUACGCUGGCAGUCUACACCGCAUGGCCUGCGUUGCUGACAUUGAGUGAAGUAAGUAUGGUGGUACAUUAUGUCAUAACAGAUAGUAUUUAAGUGUUGAUGUAUGUCUGUCCUGUAGGAUGUCUUUGUGGCUUGACCACAGGUGUUGCCCCACCUGCAGGCCCAGAGAUAGAAAGACAUAGUCACAAGUCACAGGACAGACAGGAAGCACAACACAACUGGGCC